GUAGUCGUGGCCGAGUGGUUAAGGCGACAGACUAGAAAUCUGUUGGGGUCUCCCCGCGCAGGUUCGAACCCUGCCGACUACG
rfam:Strongylocentrotus purpuratus Contig16404_fixed, whole genome shotgun sequence.